GUAGUAGCUUAGUAGAGCCCAGCCCAGCCCAGUUUUCCGUUGUCUACGAAGCCCAGGGUUUCGACUGAAAGGUGAAAAACGUUGCGGCUUGGCUCCCGUUCUGUUGCUUUCAGUUUCAUUGCCUGGUACAGUAUCGAUCGCAAGGAAGAAAAAAGAAGAAGAAGAAGGAUGGCCGUUUACUAUUGCGACGGUGCAAUCACGGUGUUUGUGUUUCGUAGGAGUGGCUCUGCAACGACGUCGUCGACAAGUGCGCUGCAGAAGAACUCCACUACUCCAGACUGGAAGUUUUCCGACUUUGGAAGCUAAUGCAACUCGAAGAAAUUCCCCAAUUUCCUAAUGCGGGUUUUCGGAAGAAACUUUCGGGGGGUUAAAAGUUUGAGACUGCUGUGGUGACUAAAGAACAUGGACAGCGCCAGCUUGGAGAGGCUGAAAUUGACGCCAUUGUUGCUGAGGUUGAAGCAGAGAAGGCAGCUACUGAGGCUGCCAAGAAGGCCCAAACAAAAGUAACCCAGUUCGAGUUUUCUGACAUUGUAUUUUUCACCUAUGUUUGUUCAUUUAUAUAACAUUUUAGGCAUUAAUAAUUUGUUAAAAACUGAUCCGGGUGCAGUGCUUUUUGUGUUAAACAUCGCUUCCCCAGUAAGUACUGAUGUUUUGAACAUAAGAAACAUGAAGUCGUUGAGGGUGAUAGCAGGACCUACUCAUCAUAUCAUUCGAUUCUUAUGGAUUGAAGUUGGGAAAGUACUUACAAGUAGGAGAAUAGUUCCUUUAUC